UACGUAGGGUGCAAGCGUUAAUCGGAAUUACUGGGCGUAAAGCGUGCGCAGGCGGUGAUGUAAGACAGAUGUGAAAAUCCCCGGGCUCAACCUGGGAACUGCAUUUGUGACUGCAUCGCUGGAGUGCGGCAGAGGGGGAUGGAAUCCGCGUGUAGCAGUGAAAUGCGUAGAUAUGCGGAGGAACACCGAUGGCGAGGCAAUCCCCUGGGCUGCACUGACGUCA
rnacentral:rRNA from 1 species